CACCCUGAAGAUGGCUCCUGGUGCUUUGAGCGCCUUGCUCUACACCAUGUGUCCCUGCACAGGAGACUGAGCUAGAAAAAGGUGCAGCUCAGCUGUUCCCCCUGGAGACCAAACGAUGUCACAGUGAGCUAGGAAGUGCUGUGCUACAGGGCACAGCUUUCCUUCCUAGCUCACACAAAGGCGGACACUUCUGUCUUCCCCCUUUGACUGGCAGAGACUCUGAGGGCCAGGUUGUCCCCACGCUACCCAGAUCCCGUCUCACUGUCUGUCUCUCACAGAGGAAAGAUGGCCAGAACACAGAAAGUGGGGAGACAGACCCUAAACAGGAUGCAGGAAUGGACACACAGUACACCAUAAAGGGCAUUGUACAAAAUUCCAGAGCAUCUCAACCAGGUAAGCACUGGGACAGGGUUACUUUAGUGAAGCAGUCACUCCUAGAGGCAAGAAUAAGUAGAGAAACCAAGGGGGUAAGGGAUACACACCUUUAAUCCCAGCAUUUGGGAAGUGGAUGCAGGCAGGCAGAUCUCUGAGUUCAAGGCCAGUCUGGUCUGCGGAGUCAGUUCCAGGACAGCCAGGGCUACACAGAGAAACCCUGUCUUGUGCUGGGGGUGGGGAGGUUAGCAGGCCCUGAAUAUGCUGAGGAAGGAGCCAUGUGGCUGCCCGAGGAAAUGGCCUGUGAAGGAACAGAG
rnacentral:lncRNA from 1 species